rnacentral:rRNA from 1 species
GGACUACCCGGGUAUCUAAUCCUGUUCGCUACCCACGCUUUCGCUCCUCAGCGUCAGUAUCGGCCCAGAGACCCGCCUUCGCCACCGGUGUUCCUCCUGAUAUCUGCGCAUUUCACCGCUACACCAGGAAUUCCAGUCUCCCCUGCCGAACUCUAGCCUGCCCGUAUCGACUGCAAGCUCGGAGUUGAGCCCCGAGUUUUCACAGCCGACGCGACAGACCGCCUACGAGCUCUUUACGCCCAAUAAUUCCGGACAACGCUUGCACCCUACGUAUUACCGCGGCUGCUGGCAC